rnacentral:rRNA from 1 species
GAGUGGCGGACGGGUGAGUAAUAUGUAGGAAUCUACCUAGAGGUGCGGGAUAACUUAGGGAAACUUAAGCUAAUACCACAUAAGCCCUACGGGGGAAAGCAGGGGAUCUUCGGACCUUGCGCCUUAUGAUGAGCCUACAUCGGAUUAGCUUGUUGGUGGGGUAAAGGCCUACCAAGGCGACGAUCCGUAGCUGGUCUGAGAGGAUGAUCAGCCACACUGGGACUGAGACACGGCCCAGACUCC